rnacentral:rRNA from 1 species
UGACCUGCAGAAUGCUUAACUGGUGCAGACCCUUGAACUUCGGUUUGGGUGGCGGACGGGUGAGUAACGCGUAAAGAACUACCCUCACAGCUAGGGACAACAUUUGGAAACGAAUGCUAAUACCUGAUAUUAUUAUUUUAUGGCAUCAUAGGAUAAUGAAAGCUAUAAGCGAUGCGAGAGAGCUUUGCGUCCCAUUAGCUAGUUGGAGAGGUAACGGCUCACCAAGGCGAUGAUGGGUAGCCGGCCUGAGAGGGUGAACGGCCACAAGGGGACUGAGACACGGCCCUUACUCCUACGGGAUGCAGCAGUGGGAAAUAUUGACCAAUGGACCAAGAGUCUGAUCCAGCAAUUCUGUGUGCACGAUGAAGUUUUUCGGAAUGUAAAGUGCUUUCAGUUGGGAAGAAAAGAAUGACGGUACCAACAGAAGAAGUGACGGCUAAAUACGUGCCAGCAGCCGCGGUAAU